GAACUUAAGCAUAUCAAUAAGCGGAGGAAAAGAAACCAACAGGGAUGCCCUUAGUAGCGGCGAGUGAAGCGGGCAAAGCUCAAAUUUGAAAUCUGGCGUGGGUCAUCUGCGUCCGAAUUGUAAUCUCAAGAAGUCACUCCGGCGAAGUCCCCAGCCCAAGUCCAUUGGAAUAUGGUGCACGAUAGGGUGAGAGCCCCGUUCACGGUUGGAGGGUCGGAACCAUGUGGAGGGCUUUCAAAGAGUCGAGUUGUUUGGGAAUGCAGCUCAAAAUGGGUGGUAAAUUCCAUCUAAAGCUAAAUAUUGGCAAGAGACCGAUAGCGCACAAGUAGAGUGAUCGAAAGGUGAAAAGGACUUUGGAAAGAGAGUCAAACAGUACGUGAAAUUGUUCAUAGGGAAGCGCUCAAGACCAGAUUCGCAGGUGUCAGAUCAUGUGUCCUUCGGGGUACUGCACUCUGGUGUCUCUUUUCGCGGGCUAGCAUCGGUUCUGUCGGUUGGAGAAAGCCUUCGGGAAUGUGGCUCUGUUCCUUGUGGAUAGAGUGUUUAUAGACCUUAGGUUAUACAGCCAGAUGGGAUCGAGGACUGCGUCUUUAAUUAGACUCGGAUGCUGGCGUAAUGGUCUUUAGCGACCCGUCUUGAAACACGGACCAAGGAGUCUAACAUCUGUGCGAGUGCUAGGGUGGAAAACCCGAGCGCGUAAUGAAAGUGAAUGUAGAUGGGAAUCCCUUCGAGGGACGCACCAUCGACCGAUUCCAAAGAUUCGUUCGGCGGGAUUUGAGUAAGAGCAUAGCCGUUAGGACCCGAAA
rnacentral:rRNA from 1 species